GAUGAACGCUGGCGGCGUGCCUAAUACAUGCAAGUCGAGCGAACAGACGAGGAGCUUGCUCCUCUGACGUUAGCGGCGGACGGGUGAGUAACACGUGGAUAACCUACCUAUAAGACUGGGAUAACUUCGGGAAACCGGAGCUAAUACCGGAUAAUAUAUUGAACCGCAUGGUUCAAUAGUGAAAGACGGUUUUGCUGUCACUUAUAGAUGGAUCCGCGCCGCAUUAGCUAGUUGGUAAGGUAACGGCUUACCAAGGCAACGAUGCGUAGCCGACCUGAGAGGGUGAUCGGCCACACUGGAACUUGGACACGGUCCAGACUCCUACGGGAGGCAGCAGUAGGGAAUCUUCCGCAAUGGGCGAAAGCCUGACGGAGCAACGCCGCGUGAGUGAUGAAGGUCUUCGGAUCGUAAAACUCUGUUAUUAGGGAAGAACAAAUGUGUAAUUAACUAUGCACGUCUUGACGGUACCUAAUCAGAAAGCCACGGCUAACUACGUG
rnacentral:rRNA from 1 species